rnacentral:rRNA from 1 species
GAUCAUGGCUCAGGAUGAACGCUAGCUACAGGCUUAACACAUGCAAGUCGAGGGGAAACGACAUCGAAAGCUUGCUUUUUGAUGGGCGUCGACCGGCGCACGGGUGAGUAACGCGUAUCCAACCUGCCUACCACUUGGGGAUAACCGUUGCGAAAGUAAGACUAAUACCCAAUGACAUCCCACGAAGACAUCUGAAUGGGAUUAAAGAUUUAUCGGUGAUGGAUGGGGAUGCGUCUGAUUAG